rnacentral:rRNA from 1 species
UACGGAGGAGGCAAGCGUUAUCCGGAAUUAUUGGGCGUAAAGGGCUCGUAGGCGGUUUGUCACGUCGGGAGUGAAAACUCAGGGCUCAACCCUGAGCGUGCUUCCGAUACGGGCAGACUAGAGGUAUGCAGGGGAGAACGGAAUUCCUGGUGUAGCGGUGGAAUGCGCAGAUAUCAGGAGGAACACCGGUGGCGAAGGCGGUUCUCUGGGCAUUACCUGACGCUGAGGAGCGAAAGCAUGGGGAGCAAACAGG